GAUGAAGAACGUAGCGAAAUGCGAUAAGUGAUGUGAAUUGCAGAAUUCAGUGAAUCAUCGAAUCUUUGAACGCACAUUGCGCCCCCUGGUAUUCCGGGGGGCAUGCCUGUUCGAGCGUCAUUUCACCACUCAAGCCUCGCUUGGUAUUGGGCAACGCGGUCCGCCGCGUGCCUCAAAUCGACCGGCUGGGUCUUCUGUCCCCUAAGCGUUGUGGAAACUAUUCGCUAAAGGGUGCUCGGGAGGCUACGCCGUAAAACAAACCCAUUUCUAAGGUUGACCUCGGAUCAGGUAGGGAUACCCGCUGAACUUAAGCAUAUCAAUAAGCGGAGGA
rnacentral:misc_RNA from 1 species